GGUAGGCGCUCGCUAGAGAAGGUGGUUCCCUUCGGGGACGCAGAGACAGGUGGUGCAUGGCUGUCGUCAGCUCGUGUCGUGAGAUGUUGGGUUAAGUCCCGCAACGAGCGCAACCCUUGUCUUUAGUUGCCAUCAUUAAGUUGGGCACUCUAAAGAGACUGCCGGUGACAAACCGGAGGAAGGUGGGGAUGACGUCAAGUCAUCAUGCCCCUUAUGACCUGGGCUACACACGUGCUACAAUGGGCAGUACAACGAGAAGCGAACCCGCGAGGGUAAGCGGAUCUCUUAAAGCUGUUCUCAGUUCGGACUGCAGGCUGCAACUCGCCUGCACGAAGCUGGAAUCGCUAGUAAUCGCGGAUCAGCACGCCGCGGUGAAUACGUUCCCGGGUCU
rnacentral:rRNA from 1 species